GUUUGGAGUAACGGCAAUACAUAUACUAAAAUUGGAACGAUACAGAGAAGAAUAACAUAGCUCCUGCGCAAGAAUGACACGCAAAUUCACGAAGCGUCCCAUAUUUUU